rnacentral:tRNA from 1 species
AAAGGGUUGUUUCCGCAGGUCAGAAGGUCAGCGCGGUCUGCACCCACAGCCCUCUUGAAAACCGUCGUGGCAGCAAUGUCACCGUGGGUUCACAUCCCACAGCCU